rnacentral:rRNA from 1 species
GAUGAACGCUAGCGGCAGGCUUAAUACAUGCAAGUCGUACGGGAUCCGAGGUAGCAAUACUUUGGUGAGAGUGGCGCACGGGUGCGUAACACGUAUGCAACCUACCUAUAACCGGGACACAACCUCGAGAAAUUGAGGCUAAUAUCCCAUAACACUGCGAGAUGGCAUCAUUUUGCAGUUAAAACUCCGGUGGUUAUAGAUGGGCAUGCGCGACAUUAGCUAGUUGGUGAGGUAACGGCCCACCAAGGCUACGAUGUCUAGGGGUUCUGAGAGGAUUAUCCCCCACACUGGUACUGAGACACGGACCAGACUCCUACGGGAGGCAGCAGUAAGGAAUAUUGGUCAAUGGGCGCAAGCCUGAACCAGCCAUGCCGCGUGAAGGAUGACGGCCCUAUGGGUUGUAAACUUCUUUUAUAGUAGAAUAAAGUGACCCACGUGUGGGUUUUUGUAUGUAUACUAUGAAUAAGGAUCGGCUAACUCCGUG